AUUGAACGCUGGCGGCGUGCUUAACACAUGCAAGUCGAGCGAGCGGCGGACGGGUGAGUAAUGUCUUGGAAACUGCCUGAUGGAGGGGGAUAACUACUGGAAAUGGUAGCUAAUACCGCAUACCAUCAGAUGUGCCCAGAUGGGAUUGGCGAGUGGGUGUGGUAAUGGCUCACCUAGGCGACGAUCCCUCGCUGGUCUGAGAGGAAGACCGGCCACACUGGACUGGAGAAACGGCCCGGACUCCUACGGGAGGCAGCAGUGGGGAAUAUUGCACAAGGGGCGAAAGCCUGAGGAAGCAAUGCCGCGGGUGUGAAGAAGGCUGUCGGGUUGUAAAGCCCGUUCAGCGAGGAGGCGGUACCCGCAGAAGAAGCACCGGCUAACUACGUGCCAGCAGCCGCGGUAAUAC
rnacentral:rRNA from 1 species